CUUUUGCCUUAGUUUGCCUCAUUUUAUUUUAUUGUUUAUAUGAUGUAUUUUUACCAUAAAUGAUAUAUUGUUUCACGUUAUGCUGUCUGCUUUUAUGCUUGAUUCAUCUUAAUCAUCACUGUAAUUAUUUUUCAUUUUAGUUUUUGAAUCAGAACAUCUUUUCCUGAGUAGUGCUAGAUACAAUCAUGGGUUAUGCAAGCGUCACAUACUCCUUUUAAAAAAGAGUAAGGUCCACCAUUAAAAAAUUAAUUUUUUCAUGUGGGUCCCAUAUUUACUUACUUUUUUCAAAAGGGGUGUGCGGUGUUUGCACAUUCCAUGACUACAAAUAUCAUUUCUCUUUUCUAAAUCUUCUUUUCAUGGGUGCUAACUGCUAAGUCCCAUGUUGGCUACUUAGUGAAACCGGUUCUAUAAAUUAUUUUAAGGAAGUUUCAAAUUGACUAGUCUUGUUGGGAUUAUAGUGUAGAUGUGGCUAGUGCUUUCCCUGCAUCAUUAAAAAUGGUAUCAGAGCUAGGUUUCAAUCUUGGGAUUCAUAGAUUAUGGCCUGUCAAAAAAUUUAAGAGGGGGUUUUGUAACACCCUAGUCCCACAUUGGGGAGUACAAAUAAACCACUUAGAGUCAUAAGUUAUGAAGGUAUUCAUGAGUGCUAAGUCUCUCCUUUACUACUUAUUAGGUGAAGCUGAAGUUUAUAAAUGAUUCUAGGGAAGUUUCAGAUUUGUUAGUCUUGUUGGGUUUAUAUCAUAGAUGUGGUUGGCACUUCCCCUGGGUUGUUAUAUAUAGUAUCAAAGCUGCCUAGUAAGGCUAGCCAUGUGACACUCAAGCUCAUAUGACAUAGCCCUAAAGAGGAUGUUAGGAAUAUAAAGGGGGGAGUUUGUAGCACUCCAAUACCACAUGAGGAAUGUGAAUAGCCAUAUAGGGAAAGUUAUAAAGGUAAUCAUGGGUGCUAAGUCCCACUCUACUUGGUGAAUUGGAAUUUAUAAGUGAUUUUUUUUUUUAAUAAGAAAGAAAUUCCAUUGAUCGAACAAAACUAGGCAAAACCCAUGAACACAGGAAGUAUA